AGUGAACGCUGGCGGCAGGCCUAACACAUGCAAGUCGAACGAGUGGCGGACGGGUGAGUAAUGUCUGGGAAACUGCCCGAUGGAGGGGGAUAACUACUGGAAACGGUAGCUAAUACCGCAUACCAUCGGAUGUGCCCAGAUGGGAUUAGCUAGUAGGUGGGGUAACAGCUCACCUAGGCGACGAUCCCUAGCUGGUCUGAGAGGAUGACCAGCCACACUGGAACUAAGACACGGUCCAGACUCCUACGGUAUGCAGCAGUGGGGAAUAUUGCACAAUGGGCGCAAGCCUGAUGCAGCCAUGCCGCGUUUAUGAAGACGGCCUUCAGGUUUUAAAGUACUUUCAGCGAGGAGGCGUUACUCGCAGCAGAAGCACCGGCUAACUCCGUGCCAGCAGCCGCGGUAAUUC
rnacentral:rRNA from 1 species